rnacentral:rRNA from 1 species
UACAGAGGUCUCAAGCGUUUGUUCGGAUUCAUUGGGCGUAAAGGGCGCGUAGGCGGCGUGUUAAGUCAGCUGUGAAAUCUCCGAGCUUAACUCGGAACGGUCAGCUGAUACUGAUGUGCUAGAGUGCAGAAGGGGCAAUCGGAAUUCUUGGUGUAGCGGUGAAAUGCGUAGAUAUCAAGAGGAACACCUGAGGUGAAGACGGGUUGCUGGGCUGACACUGACGCUGAGGCGCGAAAGCCAGGGGAGCAAACGGG